UACGAAGGGGGCUAGCGUUGUUUGGAAUUACUGGGCGUAAAGGGCGCGUAGGCGGCCUGUUAAGUCGAACGUGAAAUCCCCGGGCUCAACCCGGGAACUGCGUCCGAUACUGGCAGGCUUGAAUCCGGGAGAGGGAUGCGGAAUUCCAGGUGUAGCGGUGAAAUGCGUAGAUAUCAGGAGGAACACCUGCGGUGUAGACGGCUUACUGGACCAUAACUGACGCUGAGGCACGAAAGCGUGGGUAGCAAACAGG
rnacentral:rRNA from 1 species